rnacentral:rRNA from 1 species
GCGGAGGAAAAGAAACCAACAGGGAUUGCCCUAGUAACGGCGAGUGAAGCGGCAACAGCUCAAAUUUGAAAUCUGGCCUCGGCCCGAGUUGUAAUUUGCAGARGAUGCUUCUGGCGCGGUGCCUUCCGAGUUCCCUGGAACGGGACGCCACAGAGGGUGAGAGCCCCGUAUGGUCGGACACCAAGCCUGUGUGAAGCUCCUUCGACGAGUCGAGUAGUUUGGGAAUGCUGCUCUAAAUGGGAGGUAAAUCUCUUCUAAAGCUAAAUACCGGCCAGAGACCGAUAGCGCACAAGUAGAGUGAUCGAAAGAUGAAAAGCACCUUGAAAAGGGGGUUAAAUAGUACGUGAAAUUGUUGAAAGGGAAGCACUUAUGACCAGACUUGGGCCGGGCGGCUCAUCAGGGGUUCUCCCCUGUGCACUCCGCCCGGCACAGGCCAGCAUCGGUUUUCGCGGGGGGAUAAGACCGGCGGGAACGUAGCACCCUCCGGGGUGUGUUAUAGCCCACCGGACGAUACCCUCGCGGGGACCGAGGUC